rnacentral:rRNA from 1 species
UAGGGAGCGAGCGUUGUCCGGAAUUACUGGGUGUAAAGGGAGUGUAGGCGGGAUGGUAAGUUAGGUGUGAAAUGUAUGGGCUUAACCCAUAGACUGCACUUAAAACUGCUGUUCUUGAGUGAAGUAGAGGUUAGCGGAAUUCCCGGUGUAGCGGUGAAAUGCGUAGAUAUCGGGAGGAACAUCAGUGGCGAAGGCGGCUGACUGGGCUUUUACUGACGCUGAGGCUCGAAAGCGUGGGGAGCAAA